UACGUAGGGUGCAAGCGUUAAUCGGAAUUACUGGGCGUAAAGCGUACGUAGGCGGCUUUGUAAGUUAGAGGUGAAAGCCCGGGGCUCAACUCCGGAACUGCCUUUAAGACUGCAUCGCUUGAAUCCGGGAGAGGUGAGUGGAAUUCCGAGUGUAGAGGUGAAAUUCGUAGAUAUUCGGAAGAACACCAGUGGCGAAGGCGGCUCACUGGACCGGUAUUGACGCGUGAGGUGCCGAAAGCGUGGGGAGCAAACAGG
rnacentral:rRNA from 1 species